rnacentral:misc_RNA from 1 species
AACGCAAAUUGCACUUUCUGGUAUUCCGGAAAGUAUGCCUGUUUGAGGGUCAGUUAAAUAAAAAUCGGUGUUAUUGCUAUUAAUGGUGAUGCAUCGGAAUUGAGUCGUCUUUACCUUUGGUUUAAGUGACUUAAAAUUAUGUACGAUUUUUGAACGUAUUUAAAUUAUUUACUUACGCUCAUGAUAUCACAUAUUAGGUGCGGUCAUCCACAUGAUUUCGCGUCUAUAAUUUUUCAUUAUUUGACCUCAAAUCAGGUAAGAAUACCCGCUGAACUUAA